rnacentral:tRNA from 2 species
GGUUCCAUGGUGUAGUGGUUAUCACAUCUGCUUUACACGCAGAAGGUCCUGGGUUCAAGCCCCAGUGGAACCA